rnacentral:rRNA from 1 species
UACGUAGGGGGCAAGCGUUGUCCGGAAUCAUUGGGCGUAAAGCGCGUGUAGGCGGCUCGAUAAGUCUGCUGUGAAAGUCCAGGGCUCAACCCUGGAAUGCCGGUGGAAACUGUCGGGCUAGAGUCCGGAAGAGGCGAGUGGAAUUCCUGGUGUAGCGGUGAAAUGCGCAGAUAUCAGGAGGAACACCAAUGGCGAAGGCAGCUCGCUGGGAUGGUACUGACGCUGAGAAGCGAAAGCAUGGGGAGCGAACAGG